rnacentral:rRNA from 1 species
UACGUAGGGUGCAAGCGUUGUCCGGAAUUAUUGGGCGUAAAGAGCUCGUAGGCGGUUUGUUGCGUCGGCUGUGAAAUCCCGAGGCUCAACCUCGGGUCUGCAGUCGAUACGAGCAAACUAGAGUGUUGCAGGGGAGACUGGAAUUCCUGGUGUAGCGGUGAAAUGCGCAGAUAUCAGGAGGAACACCGGUGGCGAAGGCGGGUCUCUGGGCAACAACUGACGCUGAGGAGCGAAAGCUAGGGGAGCGAAUGGG